GACAAAAUUGGUAUAUUUGUUAGUUUUAAUCUCCGCUGCAUUGUAUGUCCAAAAAAAAUAAAUUAAAAGAAUUAGGGCAAAUUCAACAUGUAUUUUACAGACACUAGAACUGGUGAUGUACUUAUUUUGUACAGGGGGAUUACUAGCCUUUCCUUUGGAAUGUCCAAGGAUAUUGUGUUGUAUGAUAAGAACAGAGGACCCUGGAGAUAAUUAGCUCAACC